rnacentral:rRNA from 1 species
UACGUAGGGGGCAAGCGUUGUCCGGAAUCAUUGGGCGUAAAGAGCGUGUAGGCGGCCAGAAAAGUCCGCUGUGAAAACUCGAGGCUCAACUUCGAGCUGUCGGUGGAAACUUUCUGGCUAGAGUCCGGAAGAGGAGAAUGGAAUUCCUGGUGUAGCGGUGAAAUGCGCAGAUAUCAGGAAGAACACCCGUGGCGAAGGCGGUUCUCUGGGCCUUACCUGACGCUGAGGCGCGAAAGCUAGGGGAGCGAACAGG